GUCUUUGACCUCGGAUCAGGUAGGGAUACCCGCUGAACUUAAGCAUAUCAAUAGGCGGA
rnacentral:rRNA from 1 species